rnacentral:tRNA from 1 species
UCCCUAGUGGUCCAGUGGUUGGGACUCUGCACUCGCAGUACAGGGGGCCCGGGUUCGAUCCCUGGUCAGGGAA